rnacentral:rRNA from 1 species
UACGGGGGGAGCAAGCGUUGUUCGGAUUUACUGGGCGUAAAGGGCGCGUAGGCGGCGCAACAAGUCACUUGUGAAAUCUCUGGGCUCAACCCAGAGCGGCCAAGUGAUACUGUCGUGCUAGAGUGCGGAAGGGGCAACUGGAAUUCUCGGUGUAGCGGUGAAAUGCGUAGAUAUCGAGAGGAACACCUGCGGCGAAGGCGGGUUGCUGGGCCAGUACUGACGCUGAGGAGCGAAAGCGUGGGGAGCAAACAGG